rnacentral:lncRNA from 1 species
UCCCAUUCUGUUGUGCCACAAUUCAGAUUUAUUUUCCGUUAUGUCAAAGAUUUAGCAUCUUGAGGGAUAACUGUCUCUCCCAAAAGAUAGUACAAUCCAUUUCUUCUUGGUCCCUUAAAGAUUAACAAAGAUCCCUUCAUAACUUUCAAGGUGUUAUUUUCAGACUUGAAAGAGUGUCCCUCAUCUUCAAGAGAUCCCAACGAGAUGAGAUUUCUUUCUAAAUUCGUGACAUGUCUCACAUUCUUUAAUUUCCUAACAAUGACAUCAUACAUUUUGAUAGCGAUGUCACCAAUACCGAUAACACUUUGAGAGUUAUUAUCGCCCAUAUAUACUUUCCUGGGUUCAAUUUCUUUGUAAUUAUUAAACCAUGAUUUAUUAGGACACAUGUGGAAUGUACACCCUGAAUCCAAGAUCCAAUCCUUAUCAACUUCUUCAUCAGACACAGUCAUUACAAGAAGACUGUCUAACUCAGAACAAAUUGUAGAAUUAUUCAAAUCUUCAUUAUUAUGAUCUUUUGAUUUCUUCUUCCACUCAAAGCAAUCACGUUUAAAGUGUCCCAUUUUCCCCACAGUGGUAGUACUUUUUAUUGCUUCUAUCUCAUGAUUUAGAUCUAGUUUUUAUUUAGAUUUGAAUCUUCUGUUGUUUGAGUUACUUUCCUUCUUUUCAGUUAUUUCUCUCACAAACAUACUUUCCUCCCUUGAACUUCUAGAUUCUCUCUUGAUUUCCAAUUCUCGAGAUCUUAACACAUUGAUGACAAUAGAUUGCGUUAAAG